GCUCUUUUGUCAGGGAAGAAACAGCAGCUCUAACACAGUCUGCGAAUGACGGUACCUGAAGAAUAAGCACCGGCUAACUACGUGCCAGCAGCCGCGGUAAUACAUAAGGUGCGAGCGUUAAUCGGAAUUACUGGGCGUAAAGCGUGCGCAGGCGGUUAUACAAGACAGGCGUGAAAUCCCCGGGCUUAACCUGGGAAUGGCGUCUGUGACUGUAUAGCUAGAGUGUGUCA
rnacentral:rRNA from 1 species